CCUACGGGGGGCUGCAGUUUCGAAUCAUUCACAAUGGGCGAAAGCCUGAUGGUGCGACGCCGCGUGAGGGAUGAAGGUCUUCGGAUUGUAAACCUCUGUCACUGGGGAAGAAACGCUUUGAGUUAAUAGUUCAAAGCCUGACUUAACCCGGAGAGGAAGCAGUGGCUAACUCUGUGCCAGCAGCCGCGGUAAUACAGCGACUGCAUGCCUUAUUCGGAAGCACGGGCAGUCAGCCGUGCGCGGGAGGUGUGAAAUCCCGGAGCGUAACUCCGGAACUGCGCCUCAAACUACACGGCUAGAGCAUUGGAGAGGGAAGUGGAAUUCACGGUGUAGCAGUGAAAUGCGUAGAUAUCGUGAGGAACACCAGUGGCGAAGGCGACUUCCUGGACAAUUGCUGACGCUCAGGCACGAAAGCGUGGGGAGCAAAAGGGAUUAGAUACCCCUGUAGUC
rnacentral:rRNA from 1 species